AGGGUUGUGGCUCAGUAGUAGAGCGCUCACCUAGCAUGUGCGAGGUCCUGGGUUCAACCCUCAGCACCACAU
rnacentral:tRNA from 1 species